UGCUGGAGGUAUCAGAAGUGCGAAUGCUGACGUGAGUAACGACAAAACGGGUGAAAAACCCGUUCGCCGAAAGACCAAGGGUUCCAGUCCAACGUUAAUCGGGGCUGGGUGAGUCGACCCCUAAGGCGAGGCCGAAAGGCGUAGUCGAUGGGAAAAUGGUUAAUAUUCCAUUACUUCUGUGUAAUGCGAUGAGAGGACGGAGAAGGCUAAAUCAGCCUGGCGUUGGUUGUCCAGGUGAAAGGAUGUAGGCAUGUAUCUUAGGCAAAUCCGGGGUACUCUAUGCUGAGAUCUGAUAGCAAGCUGUACUUGUACAGCGAAGUGGUUGAUGCCAUGCUUCCAGGAAAAGUCUCUAAGCUUCAGUUACACAGGAAUCGUACCCGAAACCGACACAGGUGGUCAGGUCGAGUAGACCAAGGCGCUUGAGAGAACUCUGCUGAAGGAACUAGGCAAAAUGGUACCGUAACUUCGGGAGAAGGUACGCUGUUGUUGGUGAUGGAACUCGCUUCCUGAGCUGACGACAGCCGCAGAAACCAGGCCGCUGCAACUGUUUAUUAAAAACAUAGCACUCUGCAAACACGAAAGUGGACGUAUAGGGUGUGAUGCCUGCCCGGUGCUGGAAGGUUAAUUGAUGGGGUUAGCGUAAGCGAAGCUCUUGAUCGAAGCCCCAGUAAACGGCGGCCGUAACUAUAACGGUCCUAAGGUAGCGAAAUUCCUUGUCGGGUAAGUUCCGACCUGCACGAAUGGCAUAAUGAUGGCGGCGCUGUCUCCAGCAGAGGCUCAGUGAAAUCGAAAUCGCUGUGAAGAUGCAGUGUACCCGCGGCUAGACGGAAAGACCCCGUGAACCUUUACUGCAGCUUGACACUGAACUUUGACCUUACUUGUGUAGGAUAGGUGGGAGGCUUUGAAGCUGGAACGCUAGUUCCAGUGGAGCCGUCCUUGAAAUACCACCCUGGUAAUGUUGAGGUUCUAACUCUGUCCCGUGAUCCGGGACGAGGACCGUGUCUGGUGGGUAGUUUGACUGGGGCGGUCUCCUCCUAAAGAGUAACGGAGGAGUACGAAGGUGCGCUCAGCGUGGUCGGAAAUCACGCGUAGAGUAUAAAGGCAAAAGCGCGCUUAACUGCGAGACCCACAAGUCGAGCAGGUACGAAAGUAGGUCUUAGUGAUCCGGUGGUUCUGUAUGGAAGGGCCAUCGCUCAACGGAUAAAAGGUACUCUGGGGAUAACAGGCUGAUACCGCCCAAGAGUUCAUAUCGACGGCGGUGUUUGGCACCUCGAUGUCGGCUCAUCUCAUCCUGGGGCUGAAGCAGGUCCCAAGGGUAUGGCUGUUCGCCAUUUAAAGAGGUACGCGAGCUGGGUUUAGAACGUCGUGAGACAGUUCGGUCCCUAUCUACCGUGGGCGCUGGAAAUUUGAGAGGAUCUGCUCCUAGUACGAGAGGACCAGAGUGGACGAACCUCUGGUGUACCGGUUGUGACGCCAGUCGCAUCGCCGGGUAGCUAUGUUCGGAAGGGAUAACCGCUGAAAGCAUCUAAGCGGGAAGCCUACCUCAAGAUAAGAUUUCCCUAGGACUUUAUGUCCUCUAAAGAGCCGUUCGAGACUAGGACGUUGAUAGGUUGGAUGUGGAAGCAUAGUGAUAUGUGAAGCUGACCAAUACUAAUUGCUCGUGAGGCUUGACUAUACAACACCCAAGCAGUUG
rnacentral:rRNA from 2 species